CGAGAAGGUAGGAAGGGCACACGGUGGAUGCCUCGGCGCGAAGGGCCGAUGAAGGGCGUGGUAAGCUGCGAAAAGCCUCGGGGAGCCGCAAGCAGGCGUCGAUCCGGGGAUGCCCGAAUGGGGAAAACCCGGCGGGGGGAAUGCCCCGUCAUCCCGAGCUGAAUCCAUAGGCUCGGGAAGGGAACCGCGGGAACUGAAACAUCUCAGUACCGCGAGGAAAAGAAAUCAACCGAGAUUCCCCGAGUAGCGGCGAGCGAAAGGGGAGGAGCCCAAACCCGGGCGGUGCAAAAGGCUGCCACCGUUGCCGUCCGGGGGUUGCGGGACGCAGGAGCGGGGCAUGGCAGGGUCCCGGCGGAGUGAGCAAGCCACGGGCUAGCCGAAGCGGCCUGGAACGGCCGGCCAGAGAGGGUAAGAGCCCCGUAGGCGAAAGCCGGUGGCCUCCGUUGCUGCGAUCCCGAGUACCACGGGGCACGUGGAACCCCGUGGGAAGCUGGGGGGACCACCCUCCAAGGCUAAAUACCCGAGCGACCGAUAGUGCACGAGUACCGUGAGGGAAAGGUGAAAAGCACCCCGGGAGGGGAGUGAAAGAGAACCUGAAACCGUGUGCCUACAAGCAGUCGGAGGGUCGAAAGACCUGACGGCGUGCCUAUUGAAGAAUGAGCCGGCGAGUGACCGUCUGCAGCGAGGUUAAGGGCCGCAGGUCCGGAGCCGUAGGGAAACCGAGUCCGAAGAGGGCGUGAGUUGCAGGCGGUCGACCCGAAACCGGGUGAUCUACCCAUGGCCAGGGUGAAGCGCGGGUAAGACCGCGUGGAGGCCCGAACCAGGUUGGUGUUGAAAAACCAUCGGAUGAGCUGUGGGUAGGGGUGAAAUGCCAAGCGAACCCGGAGAUAGCUGGUCCUCCCCGAAACCACUUGAGGGUGGGCCUUCCGGGCUGACGCGCGGGGGUAGAGCACUGCUUGGGCUAGGGGCCUUCGCGGGUUACCGAACUCAGGCAAACUCCGAAUACCGCGCGGUGGACCGGAGGAGUUAGAGCACGGGGGAUAAGCUUCGUGCUCGAGAGGGGAACAACCCAGACCGCCAGCUAAGGCCCCCAAGUCCGUGCUAAGUGGAAAAGGAUGUGGGGUCGCUAAGACAACCAGGAUGUUGGCUUAGAAGCAGCCAUCAUUUAAAGAGUGCGUAAUAGCUCACUGGUCGAGCGACCCUGCGCCGAAAAUGACACGGGGCUCAAGCACGGCGCCGAAGCUGCGGACGGACCGGAGGUUCGUGGUAGGGGAGCGUUGCCUGGGCGGCGAAGGUCGGUCGUGAGGCCGGCUGGAGCGCAGGCAAGUGAGAAUGCCGGCAUGAGUAGCGAAAAGGCCGGUGAGAAUCCGGCCCGCCGAAAGCCCAAGGGUUCCUGAGCAAGGCUCGUCCGCUCAGGGUUAGUCGGGACCUAAGCCGAGGCCGAAAGGCGUAGGCGAUGGACAACCGGUUCAUAUUCCGGUACCACCGGGAAGCCGUCAUGAGCGAUGGGGGACGCAGGAGGGUAGGUACCGCCGGCCGCUGGAGAUGGCCGGUGCAAGCGGGUAGGGAGCCCCGGGAGGCAAAUCCCCCGGGGAGUCCCGAGACGCGACGCCGAGCCCCCUCGGGGGCGAAGGGGCCGAUCCCACACCUGCCGACGAAAAAGCCUCUAGCCAGGCUUCCGGUGCCCGUACCCGAAACCGACACAGGUGGGCGAGGCGAGAAGCCUCAGGCGCGCGGGAAAACCCCUCGCUAAGGAACUCGGCAAACUGACCCCGUAACUUCGGGAGAAGGGGUGCCCCCUUGGGGUGAAGGCCCUGGCGGCCGGAGCCUCGGGGGGUCGCAGCGAAGAGGCCCAGGCGACUGUUUAUCAAAAACACAGGUCCCUGCGAAGCCGUAAGGCGCAGUAUAGGGGCUGACGCCUGCCCGGUGCUGGAAGGUUAAGGGGAGGGGUUCGGGCGCAAGCCCAAAGCUCCGAACCGAAGCCCCAGUAAACGGCGGCCGUAACUAUAACGGUCCUAAGGUAGCGAAAUUCCUUGUCGGGUAAGUUCCGACCCGCACGAAAGGCGUAACGACCUGGGCGCUGUCUCGGCGAGGGGCCCGGUGAAAUUGAGCGGCCCGUGAAGACGCGGGCGACCCGCAGCUGGACGGAAAGACCCCGUGGAGCUUUACUGCAACCUGUCAUUGAACGUCUGCCGGCCAUGUAUAGGAUAGGUGGGAGGCUGCGAACCCGGGCCGCCAGGUUCGGGGGAGCCGACGGUGGAAUACCACCCUUGGACGGCGGGCGUUCUAACCGCGGCCCGUGAUCCGGGUCCGGGACCGUGGCAGGUGGGCAGUUUGACUGGGGCGGUCGCCUCCUAAAAGGUACGGAGGCGCCCAAAGGUACCCUCAGCACGGUUGGAAAUCGUGCGUGGAGUGCAAAGGCACAAGGGUGCUUGACUGCGAGACCGACGGGUCGAGCAGGGGCGAAAGCCGGGCUUAGUGAUCUUACGGGUCCUGGGUGGAAGGGCCGUGACUCAACGGAUAAAAGCUACCCCGGGGAUAACAGGCUGAUCUCCCCCAAGAGUCCACAUCGACGGGGAGGUUUGGCACCUCGAUGUCGGCUCAUCGCAUCCUGGGGCCGCAGCAGGUCCCAAGGGUUGGGCUGUUCGCCCAUUAAAGCGGUACGUGAGCUGGGUUCAGAACGUCGUGAGACAGUUCGGUCCCUAUCCACUGCGGGCGCAGGAGACUUGAGGGGAGCCUUCCCUAGUACGAGAGGACCGGGAAGGACCGACCGCUGGUAUCCCAGUUGUCCCGCCAGGGGCACGGCUGGAACGCCAUGUCGGGACCGGAUAAGCGCUGAAAGCAUCUAAGCGCGAAGCCGACCCCAAGAUGAGGUCUCCCAUCCCGUCAAGGGAGUAAGACCCCUGAUAGACCACCAGGUCGAUAGGCCGGGCGUGCAAGGACCGCAAGGUCUUCAGCGACCCGGUACUAAUCGGUCGAGGCCUUCGGC
rfam:Thermaerobacter marianensis DSM 12885, complete genome.